ACAGCCAUAGAUAUGAUUAACGAAUCAGUGCCAUCUUCGAUUUGUGUCUCAUACUCUGAUUGAAUCAAUGGCUGAAGGUUGAGGUGGUCUGUUGAACUGUAGUUGAAGGCAGCUUCUUCACACUCUAAUAUGACCUUUGCCAUCAUUUCCCUAAAAAUAAACUUGACUGGUACACAACUUCAACCUCAGUCCUAGUCUCUCACCUUCAAAGCCUCUCUCUACAUAGGCUUCAUGAAACGGCUCUUCUUCCUCAUUAAUCCCUUCUUCGUCAUCAUCAUACUCUUUUUGAUGCUUUAAGGAACUACUGCUCUUUUGGAAUCCAAAGAAGAGGAGAAGAAUUCCGUUUGGAUAAAUACUGGGUUCGGGGUUUUUGUGGGUUUUGAAAGGCUGAGCAUUGGAGUUUGGAAUGUGGUUAUCUGGGCGAUUGAUUGGAACUACUUGGAAGGGUUUCAAGGAAAGAUUCUGAUUUUUAGUCAUUUGAAAACUUUGGGUUUUGAUUGGGGAGGAAGGGGAAAUCCAUGUUCAUUCUUUAGUAUAUAUAUUAUGUUGCAAUUGCAUCAUUCUUUUCUUUAUUACCAGAUCCCAUAUACGUUGCUUACGAUGACUCCCUUACUUACUUGGCCAUUUGAGAUUGUUUCCUAUUAAUUAUUAUUAGUAUUGUAAUUGUUAAUUAGUGUUCGCAUUGUUAGGACGGAGAGAGAGAAUCCAUGGGAGAUUAAAAUGGUGAUUUGUUGGGUGGGAUUAUAUGGGAUUUUGUUUUGAAAGCCAUCAGUAUUUUUUACUUGGGACUUCCCCGUCUUCACAAUUUACAGAAGACAUAUGGAUAUAUUAUGCUUCUGAUAUCCCACACUUAAAGCUAGAGUGGUGGAUAAGGAAGGUUACAAGGCAAGUAAAAGAGCAAUUAUUGAUACCCUCUUUUUAGCUGGAAGGUUACAAGGCAAGUAAAAGAGCAAUUAUUGAUACCCUCUUUUUAGCUGGAGGGAAUUUCUCAUACAACCAAAAAAAUGCAGGAGCUAUGGAUUGUUUUAUUAUUAAAUACCUAAUGGUCCUUUUUGAGGUUAACCAGAAACUAUGGGGCUUUUGAGGUUGAACUUUGGUUGAACUUAUCAAUAAAAAGAUAUUAGAAGGCCAUACAAGACCUCUCUGAAAUUAAAUACUUAUUACUGUUUAAUUAACUCACAUCUUUAUGUCGCCAAACUUCUGAUCACACUGACUUUCCAGAUAAAUUGGGCUGCAAUUGUUCUCCACAAAAUGGGUUACAGCUUCCUGUUUUGUUUCUCUUACCUUUUUCUUUUCCUCCUAUCUGUAAUUACAUUUUUUAAUGCAGGAAAUGCUUUAAGGAGAGUUGCAUCUUACAACCUGGAAUAUGGGCUUUUGAAUAUCAAGCCUGAAGGUUGCUCAGGAGUCAUUGGCAGAAGACUCAUUGAGGCAGCCAAAAUGAGAGCUGGGAGUUACAGUGGAGGAAUAAAAUGUGACUUGAGUGUGGCAAUAGCCCUUACCCAAUGACAGAAUUGCCAUCACUUGAAGCUUUAUGACAUCGGAUUAUUAUCUCAACCAAGGCACCAAAAGUUGGCAAAGAUAGUGACAAGGAUUCGUCUGAAAAAUCAGAAAGGAGUAACAGUGAUAGAAAAACUGAGGGCAAAACUGCAGUUGACAUCAAACCUGUCCAGUCCGAACUCUGAAGCACCCAAGUACGUGGAACUUAUAACAAUCCACGCUGGAAAACCAUAGGGUUGUUUGGAAGAAGCUGCAGAGGUUGGUGAAAAAGUAAGACGUCUUAGUUUGAGUGAACAAAACUAGAAAAGGCUGCUGAAAGUCAUGGAACUGAUAUUGUUAGGUAAUAUCUGCAGCAAGAAGUUAUCUUAGCCUUUUGUUAGCUGUGAUCUCUAGCGGUUGUCCUGAGGUAAUGAUUCUGAUACUUGAUGUUGUGUUAUAAUCUCUCGGUUCACACAGUGGAACAUUCUAAGGAUCUACCCCAAAGGAACAUGAGUUACCUCCUCGAAUUACCAAUCGCAUGUCGGGUGGGUGCAUGGAGCUUAAAUAGUUGUGUUUAAUAGGUUAGCUUUGCAGUUUCAUGAAAUCUUAUUGGAACCUAAUAACAUAUCAAUGGCAGAGAUCGAUAAGAAAUAUAACCCGAUCUCUGGAUAUAAAACUAUAUGACAAGGACGUGGCAAAUCACGAUUGUUGAUGAAUGGGAUGUUUAGAGCCAAUUAAUGAGGAUGCGGUUACUUGAAAAAGUCUGCCUUUUUUAUGCACAAGGGCGCAAAUGAUGAGGUUUUUUAUCCUAAAAGGACCUGAUAGUGGCAAAGACAUUGAAGGUGAAAGCAUACAUGGGGAAUAAACGGCACUUGGAUAUUAGUCAAACACACUUCGAUUCAUUCUCCCCACAGACUUCUACACAAAAUUUAGUAAGAUCCGUUUUUGUUUUUCUGAUAAUUCAAGAAUUUGAUUCUAUUUUAGUUAUUGUUGCAAUCAGCUACAUUCCUAUUUUACUUUAUCUUGAAUUUUAGACCAGCUCAUAAGCGAAUAUUGGAGUCGAGUAAUUGGGUUGACUAUAUACUGCUUAUAUACUAAUUUAACAUUACAUCUAACAUUCUUGCCAAGAUGCUUCUAUUGUUUGUUAUUAAGUUUCUAUAAAUGCAAUUACAAGAUUUUUUUUUUUUUUGUCUCAUGGAAAGUUGUGCUUAACAUCUUUGAGUUUAUGCUCAUUGUGUUGUUCAUGGCUGUAAAUUGUUCCAACUGAUUGCAAAUGGGCAGUUACCUUCUUAACAAUUGAUAUAAAUUUCAUGUGCAAUGCAUUUUGAUGUCGAGAUCCCGUAGGUCUGAAAAUAUAAUGCUUUGUUGUGUAAGCAUAACUUGCAUAUUAAAGUACAAGGUUUUAUACUAGCAUUCAAACCUGCAGCAAGCAAACAAAACCGCGGCGAAGAAUAAGACUUGUUUUUUUUUUCCUUUUCUUUUUUUUCAGUUGUAAGAUCUUAGAAUUUGUUUUCUUUUUUCUUUUUUUUUUGAAAAGAGAAUUUGGUUUCUUUUAUAGGGUGAUUGUUUUCUAAUUGUGUCUUUUCUGGUGGCAAGUUUAUACCUUUUCCGUAUAUAGAUUUAGCUUUUGGGGGUGCAGUUCUGCAUGAAAGCAAGGUUCCAGAUGGUGCAAGACUGGAGUUUAAACUAAAUUUGAUUAUGUCUGAUUCUUCGCAAUUUUGUGUACCCUUAUGUUGCUGGAGAAUUUAUUUUUUUUCUGCAUAUAGCUUUGGCGAUGAGAAAGGUUAGGAUUAUGCAGUUCUAGAUUUAUAGGAGAGAGAAAGAUUCAUUUUUUUUUUCUUUUCACGGAAUCAGUGUGAUUCUAAAUGCCACAAGAACACAUUCUUAAUUGGUUGAAUCCCAAACCCUUUGAGCAGAUUAAGUACUACCAGGAUACAAAGCCAAUGGUGAUAAAGUGGAAGAAUCUGAGUAUUUGGUUAAAGGUUAAGAUUAGAAGCUAAAUUGGAAGCAAAACUGUACAGGAAAUAGAACAAAACAAAGGUUGGCCUUCAAAAUGGAAGAAAGAUCAUUAUCAUUCUUCUUCUUAAGAAAGCCAAGAAUAAAGAUUUUCAUUAUCAUUCUUUCUGUUUUGGUACAAUUAUGAAGAUUGUAGGUCCAGAAUUUGAUUGAAAGGUAUCUGCAGUUGUAUCUGCAGAGAUAAAGUUAGCAAUCAAAAAUCUUGAUAUUAUAGUUUGGUUGAUAACUCUGAUUAUAUAUACAAAUAGAUCCUGCUGAAUGCCAUAUAUUACUCACAGACCCUCCUCUCAAUCCCUCCAAGAACCGUGAAAGGAUUGUCUGUUUUUGUGAUAUCUUUAUUAGGCAGUAGCUUAGUUUGGUAAAUUUUUGUGUACUGUAAUGAAUAUUAAUGUUGGCCUGUCAUGAUUUGGCUUGAUUCAAUGUUUCAAUUCGAGACCAUGUUUAACAAAUACAGUUUUAUUGCUGUCUUCUUUAAUUGAAGCUGUUUUAACACUGUAUGCUCAAGGAGCUUAUAGAGAUGAUUAAAUGUUAAAUGUUUAUAUACCUGUUUUUGCCUCAAUUUGUUAUUUCUUUCUAGUUUUGUGGAAUUUCUGAAGAGGUGUAGAAGUUGUUUUUCAGAUUAAGUUAGCCUGAUACGAGGAAAAGGUCUACCCUCAGAAUAAGGUAAUGUGUUCGAACAAUUAUAGUUAUGUUUUUGUUUGUUAUUGAGUAUAUGUUGUUGCAAGGGCCUUCACUUUUCCCAGGUUUCAUAUCUGAUCAGUCUGCGUUUUGUCACCAAGAUAUUGAUAUUGGUGAGUCUGAUUCUAUUUUAAGAAGCGCAACUAUAUUCCUUUAGCUUUCUCUUUGGAAAAGGGCUGCAGCAUUACUUUAUUUAUCUUCUUAUGUUGAUAAUUAGGGAAAUUGCCGUGUGAGGCACAUAGAUCUCAGAAAGCAGCUGUGUUUUUUGAACACAACUGGAACACAUGCCUAGCAACAAAUUACAUAAUUAAAUAGAAAAGUAAUACUAAAAAUGUGAUGGUCCUGAUUAGUGGUUCAGUAUAGGGAAAGCAUAUUGCAUAUUGUGAUGAAUAUAAACAAUGGUACAUUGUCUAUUUAGUAUCUUGAUCAUGUCUCCUUUUGUUUGGUUCAUGGUUACUUUCUGUCUUUAUACCCUCAAAAUCAGUUACGUUAGUGGGAAUACUCUUCCUGUAAAGUAGAUGUGUAUAAGAUAGGAUAGUUUCAAUCAUAAUGCAUCCUGUCUUUAGUUGUGUAAGGGUUUGGUUUUUCAUAUUGACUUCAAAUGGGUUUAUAACUCUUAUUUACACAAAAACAGAGCAACAGCAGCCUGUUGCGCAAUGGAACUUUCGUUACUCGCAUCCAAUGAUAAUUAUGAGAAACCACAAUGAACUUAUUCUAAGCAAAAGAGCUAGAACAUAGAGAAACUCAGUCAAACAAUAAAAGUUAUUUCAGUGAGUAAUAGGACAAACCCAAAAUAUUCUUUUGAGUGCUAUAAUCACAUGGAGUAAUUUCAGGGAUCUGAUUUGUGGAAAGAUAGAGAUCAGAUUAAAAAGUUUGCAAAAUCCUCCUUGGAACUCUGCAAGGUGUAUAUGUAUAUGGAGAUUUCUUUGUCUACUAGCAGCCAUGAUGAACUUCCCUCAGCUGAAAGGCACCUAAGGAACAUAAUUAGAUAGGCAAGAUACUUUUCAAAAUGUUAGCAUUUGGAAUAUGUAACUGCCAUUGUUUUUUUUUUUUGGACAUGAUAUGCUAAACACUAUUUUCUAUCAUUUGAAUCUCUUUAAAUCCUAUAGAUGUAUUACUAUUUUUGUAACUAAAUAACAUACAUUUGGGACA